CUAACCAGCUGCACUCAGAGCUUGCAGGAAGAUCACUAGCUGGACUUAAACCCGGUUCUGUGCUGGAAGGCGGUGAGAAGAAGAUCAGAACAGUUAUGAGAAAAAGAGCUGCUAAGAGAAACUGGAGGAUAAACAGAUAAACAGCAGAAAGAGAGGAUGGAUAAACCGCAGAAAAAGAAGAUGGAUAAACAGCAGAAUAAGAAGAGUGCAGCCAAUAGGACAGAAGUUGAUGAGAGACCGACAGAUGAUGGAAAGAGUAGUAGCAGUGAAAUAAAGAGGAGCAGAAGUUUACCACGACUCAUUAAUUUCUGUGGUGAGUUUUACACCAGAGAUUUUUCAUGAAUGAUCGUCUCUUCAGUUCUGUUCUCUUAUUUUCCCUGUAUAAGAACUCCUGAUAUUGAUCAUCUCCAUGUUUCUGCAUUUGUUCAAAUGUUUCUCCAGGUGUUCCUCCAGAUGUUCAGAUGAAGGAUUCUUAAAGCUGAAUUCUCCUGAUCAGAUUGUGCUGAAGAACAGCUAAGGGCGUUUUCACACCAGCAAUAUUUGGUCCAGUUAAAACGGACCCUGGUUAGUUUGUACUCUUGGUGCGGUUCGUUUCAGCAGGUGUGAAAUCAGUAAUCGCACUCGGGUGCGGACCAAAACAACCGCACCAAGACCUGCUAGAGGAGGUGGUCUCGGUCCGGUCCCAAACGCUGGAGUGGUUCACUUGUGGUAAGAACAUGAUCCGAUCUCAAUCCGACCUAGCUAUUAAAUAUAGUCAAUUUAUUUUAGCUAAACUGCUGAUAAGGCGCAGUUUAAACUGAUAUAUUAGCCAGAUAACACUAAUUACCACAGCUAUAAACAAACACUGUGUCCAUGCACGCGCGGUCUGUGCUGCCUUCACGGCUCACAGCCGCGUGACUCGGUUUACUAUCUGUGCUACACGUCCAAACACUGAACGCUGAAACGCUACGCUUUCAAACACAGUGUUAAAGCACAGAUAUACGCACUGGAACACAGAAUCUUCUUGCUAUAUUUACUUCCUUCGUAUACUUAUUUAUAUUUACUCCCGCGCCAGAUAGCUCUGACCAAUUAGAGGACACAGCUUGAUUGCGUGGUUUAUUGGUGCUCAUUUUGGUGGGUUUAAGUUUAUGCCGGUGUGAAACCAGACCAAACAGAUGGAGAAAACGCUCCAACUAAACGAACUCAUGAACUGAUUCGGACCAGAGAAUCGAACUACAGGUGUGAAAACGCCCUAAGAGUUUCUACUUAAACCUUUAUAUAUCUGUCUACUUUACAUCAGUUCAUCAUGUUUAUAUUCACUAACACAAUUAUUCAGAGCAAUAAACAUGCAUGAAGUAUCA
rnacentral:lncRNA from 1 species